rnacentral:lncRNA from 1 species
GGCAACCCCCGGGCCCCUGGAGAGCCCCGCGGCGGCCCAAGACCCGCUCCCGAGACACGUGGGCCCCUCCGGACUUGGUUGGUCCCUGGAGCCAGCUGCGCGCGUCCUCUCCGGCCUCCUUGUCGGCGCUGGAGUGGGUCCACGUCUGCCUUGCGGAGCGCGGUGGUUCCACGCUCCUGAGCGCCCACGCUGCGCAGACCUGGCCGCUCUGCGAGGCGACGGCAGCGCACUGAAGACCGUGGUGUUUCCCAAGCCCUCCCUGCUCUCGGGCCUCCAGGGCGCAGCAGGGGAGGGUUUUGUCCCCGUGGCCAAAGCUCUGCAGGUCGAACCUUAUCUGCUAUGGGAAGGCCCCGCAUUUUCAGAUUCACGCAGGGCCCUCUGCAGACUGUUGGCAGAAAAAAGGUAGCCACCAAACACAUGCAUAAGCUGGACUUUUCCCAGAAUGCUGCAGCAGAACUACCCUCCAGAUAGACACUAGCCUGCGGGCCACAGUGCUACGUGAGUCUUGCAAAGAGGAGAUCUUUAUGGCGAGGCUGAGAGCACUGCCUGCAUGCUUUACCAGAGCCCAGCCUCCAGCCUCCACGGAAAAUGUGUUUUGGAAUCAACACUCUUUGCAAAGGCUCCACACUGCUUUCUGGUAGCAUUGGCCUGGGCGCCCAGGCACUCCUUUAGAACCCACCUGUUCCCCCCACCCACCCUAGUGGGAGGAGGAGAGGGUUACACUGACAGAUACCGGCAGCUCUGCAACCCGGGAACAACGCAGACAACAUACAACUCGACAGAGUCACAGAAGGUGGCGUCCAUCGCGCCUGGAUGGUGACUACUGCCCUGCGGGCUGCUGGGUGGGUGAAACACACAGGGAAGAAGCACAAAUACACACACAGAUGUGGCUCAGGGACA